UUUCAAAACUAAGGUGCCAAAUUAAAGGGCCUAGCCCCCAGAUGUAUAUACCACAACGCAUGACUUUUUUGAAUAGGGUUGCCAUCUUUUUGAAAAUUAUAAU